GAGGGUAGAGCUCAGUGGUAGAGUGUGUGCUUAGAGUGCAUGAAGUCUGGGGUUCAAUCCUCAGUACCCUCC
rnacentral:tRNA from 1 species